UACGUAGGCAGCAAGCGUUGUUCGGAAUUACUGGGCGUAAAGAGUGUGUAGGCGGUGUCGUAAGUUUGGCGUGAAAUCUCCCGGCUUAACUGGGAGGGUGCGCCGAAGACUGCGAUGCUUGAGGAUUGGAGAGGAAAGUGGAAUUUCUGGUGUAGCGGUGAAAUGCGUAGAUAUCAGAAGGAACACCUGUGGUGUAGACGGCUUUCUGGACAAUUCCUGACGCUGAGACACGAAAGCGUGGGUAGCAAACAGG
rnacentral:rRNA from 1 species